rnacentral:rRNA from 1 species
ACCGAGGAAUUGCCCUGCAUAACGGCGAGUGAACAGGCAAGAGCUCAGAUUUGAAAGGCACUUUUGUGCCGUUGUAUUCUGAAGUUAGGGUCCUGAGAAACGAUGCUUAAGUCUUCUGGAAAGGAGCGCCAUGGAGGGUGAUAGCCCCGUCUAGCAUUGACCUCAUAUAGGAUCUUAACAUGGAGUCGAGUUGUUUGGGAAUGCAGCUCAAAUGGGUGGUAUGCUCCAUCUAAAGCUAAAUAUCUGCGAGAGACCGAUAGUAAACAAGUACUGUGAGGGAAAGAUGAAAAGAACUUUGAAAAGAGAGUGAAAAAGUACGUGAAAUUGUUGAAAUGGAAGGGUAGGCCGCUAACCAUGUAGAGCCGUGUUUGGGGGGAAGAUAAAUGCUGUAGAAUGUAGCUCCUCGGAGUAUUAUAGAUGCAGUUCAUAUUCCCACCCGAGCGCGAGGAUCUCAGGUUCUACUAAAUGGUGGUCUACCACCCGUCUUGAAC